CGGAUGAAUGGAUAAAGAAAAUAUGGUGUGUAUAUAUACAAUGGAAUAUUAUUCAGCCUUAAAAAUGAAGGAAAUCCUGGCAUUUACAACACCGUGAAUGAACAUGGAAGGAAUUAUGCUAAGUGAAAUGAGCCAAACAGGGAGAGGCAG